CUCGCUAAGUUUAAAACCAAAAUACUGUGUAGCUAUACAAUGCACUAAAACUGGCAAAGUAUAAUAACGCGGAAGCUACGUUCAAACUAUUGGAAAUGUAACCUGCCUAACGAGACGCAAGGAUAUUUGCAUUGGGGAUUGUCAGCUUGAAGUCGAGCUGAAUGAAAUGCUAAGCUUAAAAUCAAACAAAUGAAAUUUAUAAUUAACUAUCUUUAUGCAAGCCUGUGCAUAUUAAAAAUCGACUAAUACAAAAACAAGAAACAAAUUGAACUUGUUAGUAAAACGAAAGAGAACGGUAGCGAUACUUCGUUGAGGCAAGCAUGUUUUGGAAUAAGUAGUUUUUUAAAAGUUUGGAGCCUGUCUACAAACAUUUUGCAACAUGAAGAGAUCAUAGCCUACGGAUCUUGAAUUUGAGGAAAAAAUGCUAAUGUACUUUUACUUAUUUACAUC